rnacentral:rRNA from 1 species
UGAUCCUGGCUCAGAAUGAACGGCUGGCGUGAUGCGUUGACACAUGCAAGUCGAGAGUUAGCAUCGAGAGCAUGAUCUAUGAUGGCGAGAGGCGAACGGCUGAGUAAUAUAUCGGAACGUGCACCAGUAAUGGGGAAUAAGUAAUUUAACGAUUUAGGUAUUACCGCAUACGACCUACGUGUCAAAGCAGGGGAUGUUAUGACAUCGCGUUAUUGGAGCGGCCGAUAUCUGAUUACAUCGUUGGUAGGGUAAAAGCCUACCAAGGCGACGAUCAGUAGCUGUGUGAGAGGACGAUCAGCCACACUGGAACUGAGACACGGUCCAGACUCACACGGGAGGCAGCAGUGGGGAAUUUUGGACAAUGGGGGAAACCCUGAUCCAGCCAUCCCGCGUGAGUGAAGAAGGCCUUCGGGUUGUAAAGCUCUUUCGAAAGUGAAGAAAACUUAUUUCGUAAUAUGUUAUAAGAAUGACGGUAACUUUAGAAGAAGCACCGGCUAACUACGUGCCAGCAGCCGCGGUAAUAAGUAGGGUGCGAGCGUUAAUAGGAAUUACUGGGCGUAAAGCGUGCGCUGGCGGUUUUGUAAGUCAGAUGUGAAAUCCCCGAGCUUAACUUGGUAAGUGCGUUUGAAACUACAAGAUUAGAGUGUGUCAGAGGGGGGUAGAAUUCCACGUGUAGCAGUGAAAUGCGUAGAGAUGUGGAGGAAUAUCAAUGGCGAAGGCAGCCCCCUGGGAUAACACUGACGCUCAUGCACGAAAGCGUGGGGAGCGAACAGGAUUAGAUACCUUGGUAGU